rnacentral:lncRNA from 1 species
CCUACUUAGUCGGACGGAGCGGGAAAAUUUCACACGUUAUAAAAUAACGUUAUACUAAGGCUACGAUAUAUUUAUGGGUUACCAUAAAAGUUUGAUCUGUACCAGUAGGACAUUCCACGGUUCCAGCAUCCUUUUAAAUGCAUGCAAACACAUUCUUGAUGACAAAAGGCUCCAGUCUCCAUACAGCAUGGUGUCUUCUAGGUGAACUGACUUUACCUGGCUGAAAAUGGAGGACAUGUAUUGUUAAUAUGAAAUAGACAGGAAAUAGAAGCUGCAGGAAUAUCCCUUCAUCUCACACAGUUGUGCAAGACACAGCAAGUUUCAGGAUGAAUGGGUUGUGAAGAGCCAGAGACAGGACAGCCAUGGUAAACAGGUAACUGGACUUCUUGCAGCUCACACACAUGGUUUGACAGUUGUUGUAAAUUGUGAAGCGUCUCAGUAGUGGCCUGCUUGAUGUGGUCAGAUUGUGUUGAAAUUUAUUGGACCCAAAGUGGAGCAGUGGUCAUUACUUCCCUGGGAUGACCCAUUGUCAUGACAGUAACUGGACUGCUUGCAGCUCCAGUCUCCAUACAGCAUGGUGUCUUCUAGGUGAACUGACUUUACCUGGCUGAACAUGGGGGGAAUGUAUUUUUUAUAAGACUGAAGCAGACAUGAAAAGACAGCAACAGGAACAUCUGCAUCUCACCCAGUUGUGCAAGGCAUGGGAUGUGGCAAGUUUUAGGAUGAAUGAACA